rnacentral:misc_RNA from 1 species
UCUCCGUAGGUGAACCUGCGGAGGGAUCAUUACCGAGUGCGGACCAGGAGACCCCUGGCCCGUGACCUCCAACCCUUUGUGGACCCAUCUCGUUGCUUCGGGGGCGACCCCGCCGUUUCGGCGGUGGCGCUCCCGGUGGCCAAUUAUUAAACUCUGCAUCUCUUGCGUCGGAGUCUUAAAGAAAUUUAAACAAAACUUUCAACAACGGAUCUCUUGGUUCUGGCAUCGAUGAAGAACGCAGC